rnacentral:rRNA from 1 species
UGGGGAAUUUUGCACAAUGGGGGAAACCCUGAUGCAGCGACGCUGCGUGAUUUAGAAGGCCUUCGGGUUGUAAAAAUCUUUUCUAUGGGAAGAAAAUGACAGUACCAUAGGAAUAAGGACCGGCUAAUUACGUGCCAGCAGCCGCGGUAAUACGUAAGGUCCGAGCGUUGUCCGGAAUCAUUGGGCGUAAAGGGUACGUAGGCGGGUAAGCAAGUUAGAAGUGAAAUCCUAUAGCUCAACUAUAGUAAGCUUUUAAAACUGCUCAUCUUGAGGUAUGGAAGGGAAAGUGGAAUUCCUAGUGUAGCGGUGAAAUGCGCAGAUAUUAGGAGGAAUACCGGUGGCGAAGGCGACUUUCUGGCCAUAACCUGACGCUGAGGUACGAAAGCGUGGGUAGCAAACAGG